GAUGAACGCUAGCGGCAGGCUUAACACAUGCAAGUCGAGGGGCAGCGCGGGAUAGCAAUAUCCUGGCGGCGACCGGCGGAAGGGUGCGUAACGCGUGAGCGACAUGCCCGUUGCCCGGGGACAACCGGUGGAAACGCCGACUAAUCCCCGAUGGGAUAUUGUGCCGCAUGGCACGAUAUUGAAAGUUACGGCGGCGACGGAUUGGCUCGCGUCCGAUUGGCUUGUUGGCGGGGGACCGGCCCACCAAGGCUGCGAUCGGUAGGGGUUCUGAGAGGAAGGCCCCCGACAAGGUGACUGGGAACCGGCCCAUAGUCCUACGGGAGGCAGCCGUAAGGAAUAUUGGACAAUGGGAGGAUGCAUGAACCAGCGAUGCCGGGUGCGGGAAGGAGGCCCUAUGGGCGGUGAACCGCUUUUGCCUGGGGGCAAUAAGGGCGUAGCGCACGUCCGAGGAGAGAACCAGGCGAAUAAGCAUCGGCUACCUCCGU
rnacentral:rRNA from 1 species